rnacentral:rRNA from 1 species
GGCUUUUUCUCUCUUGGCUAUUGUCGAGAGGCGAGAAAGUCAUCCGCCAGAGAACUAUACUCGUCCUUAAUUGGUCGUUAUAGGGAUCUGGCACUUUACUUUGAAAAAAAUAGAGUGUUCAAGGCAAGCCAUUGCAUGAAUACACAAGCAUGGAAUAAUGGAAUAGGACUAUGAUCCAUUUUGUUGGUUAUUGGAUCUUAGUA